GAUGAACGCUGGCGGCGUGCCUAAUACAUGCAAGUCGAGCGAACAGACGAGGAGCUUGCUCCUCUGACGUUAGCGGCGGACGGGUGAGUAACACGUGGAUAACCUACCUAUAAGACUGGGAUAACUUCGGGAAACCGGAGCUAAUACCGGAUAAUAUAGUGAACCGCAUGGUUCAAUAGUGAAAGACGGUUUUGCUGUCACUUAUAGAUGGAUCCGCUCCGCAUUAGCUAGUUGGUAAGGUAACGGCUUACCAAGGCAACGAUGCGUAGCCGACCUGAGAGGGUGGUCGGCCACACUGGAACGGAGACACGGUCAAGACUCCUACGGGAGGCAGCAGUAGGGAAUCUUCCGCAAUGGGCGAAAGCCUGACGGAGCAACGCCGCGUGAGUGAUGAAGGUCUUCGGAUCGUAAAACUCUGUUAUUAGGGAAGAACAAAUGUGUAAGUAACUAUGCACGUCUUGACGGUACCUAAUCAGAAAGCCACGGCUAACUACGUG
rnacentral:rRNA from 1 species